UCAAAUUAAAGUUACGUCAUUGGAGUCUUCUUGGGCCACCACGCAGGCGAUGCCAACGAUCACCAGAGCCAAGAUUGACAGUCCCUAAAGCCAAAUCAUGAAUUUCAAAUGUGUUGAAAAGUGUUCAAAUGUAUUGAAUUAGAUGUAAUACUACCUUCAUUUUAAAUUUUCUUUAUUUUGGGGAAUUAUUAGACGACUGGAACGUGACUGGAACAGCAGAGAGCAGAGGACGGAUAGAUUCAACUCGACUCCGGCGUCGUAUUUAUAUGGCAGCCAGUUGAUUUUGAGCGAUCACUAAAAGCAAAAGGUUGAAACGUUGAAAUAAUGGAAUCGUUGGAUGCCACUAAUGCUUCUUUGACCUUCGUUCGUUCAGGGUCCCAACGGCGCCCAGUUUAGCACCUGGCUCCGGAUGUUUUAAUCUUCAUCGCAUGUUUACUUGGUGAGUCCUUUUUUUAUACUCUGCAAAUUUGAAUUUGAAUUUUUAUUAGCUGUAAUAAUGGUUAUAACCUGCUUACCAUACGUUUAAAGGAUGUGAAUAAUAAACCCAUUUAGUGGUAAAUGGCAUCAUUUCAGAGAUAAGUCAUAAUUGAGUGAAUGGCCUACAACUCACACGUGUAUCUUAUUCAGUUGUAGGAAUUAUUCGAGGAAUGUCACACCAGAGUAAGACCAUUAAACCCCAUGUGGUCACUUGUGAGUAAUCAAACCAUAAAGGAAGGGCUAUACUAUUUCUGCUAAAACGGAAUAUUUAGCUUCCAACAAUCAAAGAUGAAGCCUCACUGUAAAUCCAUACGUUAAGUAGGACAGUAAAAAUACCGGUCAAAAUCAACAAGGAAUCGAUAGCCACUCG